ACCAAAAUACGCUUGCAAACUUCAAAAGGGGAUUCUGAUUUCCUAAGUGAAAUAAAUGAAAAACCAAGUGCUCUGCAUGCUGGCAUUGUUCAUUAUCAACCAUGGAAGGUGGGGCCAUCAGAACUUUGCUGAGCCAUCACUUCUGUGGGACCCAGACAGAGUAAUAGGUCCCUGGAGGAAAAGAAGCAUAUAGCUUUUGGACAUAGGAAAAGCCAUUUUGGGCCUAAGCCAUUUUGUGAGCUAAGUCUGGCCACAAAGCUUGCGCUUGAACAGAUCACAGUAAUAAUAAUCUUAAGAGAAAAAAACAAAUUUAUCAGGCUGGAAAAGUAACAAUAGCAAAGACAUUAAGUCAGCUUUAAAGACCCCAGCUCUCUUCAAAUGGUAAUGAUUAGCUCGAAAUACUAUCUUUAGCUGUUUUGCAGAACUUACCCUAUCUCAAGCACUUAACCACCAGAACAAUCAGAAUCUAAGAAAUAAUGGUGAGACUUUUCUGGCACACGUGACUUCAAUCAAUUACAGUUUAGACUCAAUCCAUCUUUACCACAAUUUUAUGCUGAAUUCUCCUCAGCUCAAGCUCCUUGGUGAAUACAAUGCACCCUUAGCUUAAAACUUUCCCAGUUUUGCCAUUAAGGAGACACUGCUUUGGAAAUAUCCCCGGUGUUCUCCUUACUUAUUAGUGCAAGUAAUAAAUCAAUCCUUCUCCCACUCUGUGCCUUCCGCCUCAACAUCCUCUGAGAAGUGAAACCGUUUUAAGGUAACAACAUCAAGCAGCCUCACCUCAACAGUCCUUUCUUCCGUGGUGCGCCUGCGCUGAGCACUGCAUCCUGGGAGCACGAGCGUGGGCGGCCAGCUAAUCACCACAGCAGCCUGGAGCCGCCUGCAGUCACACACCCUCAGGAGCUCUCACAACCUCGGUGGUCAGUGUGGCAGCCACUUGUCGCUGGCCUGGCUUGGCCUGUCCAGGCUAACAGUUUUCAGGCCACAGGGAAAGAGAGUCCUGGACCGGCCGCCUUGCUGCCGGCGAGGAUGCCUGCUCUUUUGCUUGCAACCAGCAAAGCCAAUCAGUUGGAUCAGACUGUUGGCGAAGACAACGACAGAUCUCAGUUGUAAGGAACAUUGCAGUCAAACUCUUUGGAUCAAGAAAUCAAAAAUAAAUGAUGCAGCAACUUGAACCUGGGUUUGUUGCUUCUGUGUGGAGCCGAAAGAACAUCAGUGGAGUACACAGAAUGCUUUUAACUAUAUUGAAAUUCUCCUGAAUGAAGCAAUUGAACCCAUCAAACAAGAGAGAAAAAUGAUCCUCUUAGUGGCAUUCUUCACCAUAAUGGAGAAAAUUUAGAUUUUCAUAGUAGAGAAAGCUUAGAUUUUGAGAGAUAUUGGAAGUUUGUACAAUGAUAUCACAUGAGAUUUUGUUAACCCAUCUGUGUUUACAUCACCUUAGAUAUUAAAAAUAUCCCUGGUUUGAAGUUCUGCCAAAUACUAACAGCACAUUUGUGUUCCAAAGGCAAUGUCACUGAAAUGGUGAAUGUUUUAUUAAAUUUAUUUUUUGCAUAGAGUGUAUAUUGGUCAUGAUUCAUUGUGUUCUGUGUGUGUGUGUGAGUUUUUAAAUCAGUAUUUCCAAUGGGAUUUUCUUAUCUUGGGAAACCAUAUCUGACAGUCUGUAGUGAAUCACAAUUUUGAUUUACAUUCCAUUUCGUCUUUGUACAUGUGCAGUGGCAUACCAGUGCACCACAGUUUUGACAUAUUGCCAAUUCUAGUUCCUUGAAGUUAAACUUUAUAAUAGUAAUUCCAGCAAACCUUGCUAAUCAAAAAGGUGCCUCAAUUUGAAUAUAAGCCAGAUCUUAGAAUUAUUUUGACACAUCAUUAUUUUAUUGAAUUACCAAGGGAGGUGUUAGAAAUGAUAAUCUAAUACUAUCCACUACUCUAGUCACUAAUAUUUCAUACAGAGUACUUUUAAUAAGUGACAUUUAUAUUAUAAAGAUUACAGUUGGUAAAAAGCAGUUGGCACUGUGGUUAUGUGAUAAUCUUAUUUUAAUUUUAAUUUUAUUUGUAUUUUAACCAAAAUUAUAUUAAUAUAUUUGUUUUAACAAAAAUCAUAUUAUUCUGUCCCCAUCUUUCCAUUCAAAAUAACAAGCUAUAAGACAGACUCUUUUCCGUUAAUAAAAUGCAAAUUUGAUCAUGUAACUCUGAUUAAAACCAUUACUUUUAAAAUCAGGUUUUAAUGUUGAUUAUGGCCUAAAAGUCCUGCAUUUUUUAGUUCUUGUGCAUCUUUUAGUCCUAUUGUAAUGAUACGAUUUCACUUGGUCAACAUGCUGGAAAUAAACUGUUCUUAUUUCACCUUCUUUAAAGUGUCAGCCGAAUCCCUGCAUUACUCAAAGCUUUAACUCUUUACCAGAUAGUAUGCUGUCUGUUGUAAGGGGUAAAAGAAAUCUUCCAAAUGGUUUGUGAAAAGAAAAUUAUGGAGGGAUUUAUUACCAGAUCAAAAUAAAUGAGAGAUAUUCUUUCCAAAACAGAA